rnacentral:autocatalytically_spliced_intron from 1 species
ACGCCUGCUCGGAAUCCAUAACGAGCAGGGGACACAAGUGGAAGUCGGAGGAGGCCAUAGUAGCUUUGAAGCGGGGCAACGCCUGCGGAGCGAAGGGC